AUGGUCACAAGGCAGCAGCUUUACCACUGCGCCAAGGCUCCCCUUCAUUGUGAAAGAAAAAAAACAUCAUUUUUUUGGUGUGGCCUCAAAAAAAGAAAAGAACUUAGAUCAUUAGUCUCUAUGUGCAGCAGCCAUACGUUGGUGCCCAAUAUGUGCAGCAGCAACAAGCUGGGAUGCGACUGCCAUUUCAAACAUCUUCAAGUCCAUUUGCAAUGCAUGCUGGUAUUGGUGGAUCUCAACAUUCUGGUCAACAACAAGAUUCUGGUGGCACGGGGUUUUGUGAGGUACAUAUCCGAGUGCCCUUUCCCCCAUGUGUGA
rnacentral:rRNA from 1 species